CAAUAGCGUAUAUUAAAGUUGUUGCAGUUAAAAAGCUCGUAGUUGGAUUUCUGGUCGGAAGCUCCUGUCCUCUGAUGAGCGUACAAGUGCGUCCUACCAUCCUUCUGUUAACCUUUAAGGCUUUCGCGGCUUUCUAGGGGUUCAGAUAUUUUACCUUGAGAAAAUUAGAGUGUUUCAGGCAGGCUAGCGCCGGAAUACAUUAGCAUGGAAUAAUGGAAUAGGACUUUUGCCUCUUCUGUUGGUCAUGAGGCUCGAGUAAUGAUUAAUAGGGAUAGUUGGGGGCAUUAGUACUUAACUGUCAGAGGUGAAAUUCUCGGAUUUGUUAAAGACUAACUUAUGCGAAAGCAUUUGCCAAGGAUGUUUUCAUUAA
rnacentral:rRNA from 1 species